rnacentral:rRNA from 1 species
UGGGGAAUCUUGGACAAUGGGCGAAAGCCUGAUCCAGCAAUGCCGCGUGAGUGAAGAAGGCCUUCGGGUUGUAAAGCUCUUUCGGACGGGAAGAAAUCGCAUCCGCUAAUACCGGGUGUGGAUGACGGUACCGUAAGAAGAAGCACCGGCUAACUACGUGCCAGCAGCCGCGGUAAUACGUAGGGUGCGAGCGUUAAUCGGAAUUACUGGGCGUAAAGCGUGCGCAGGCGGUUUGUUAAGACAGAUGUGAAAUCCCCGGGCUCAACCUGGGAACUGCAUUUGUGACUGGCAGACUAGAGUUCGGUAGAGGGGGGUGGAAUUCCACGUGUAGCAGUGAAAUGCGUAGAGAUGUGGAGGAACACCAAUGGCGAAGGCAGCCCCCUGGGCCUGAACUGACGCUCAUGCACGAAAGCGUGGGGAGCAAACAGG